CCUACGGGAGGCUGCAGUGGGGAAUAUUGGACAAUGGGGGCAACCCUGAUCCAGCCAUGCCGCGUGUGUGAAGAAGGCCCUCGGGUUGUAAAGCACUUUCAGUGAGGAAGAACGCCUGGUGGUUAAUACCCAUCAGGAAAGACAUCACUCACAGAAGAAGCACCGGCUAACUCCGUGCCAGCAGCCGCGGUAAUACGGAGGGUGCGAGCGUUAAUCGGAAUUACUGGGCGUAAAGCGCGCGUAGGUGGCUUGAUAAGCCGGUUGUGAAAGCCCCGGGCUCAACCUGGGAACGGCAUCCGGAACUGUCAAGCUAGAGUGCAGGAGAGGAAGGUAGAAUUCCCGGUGUAGCGGUUAAAUGCGUAGAGAUCGGGAGGAAUACCAGUGGCGAAGGCGGCCUUCUGGACUGACACUGACACUGAGGUGCGAAAGCGUGGGUAGCAAACAGGAUUAGAUACCCCUGUAGUC
rnacentral:rRNA from 1 species